AGUACAUGGUGAGGACACAUUGUCAACAAAUCCUUAAAUCUCUCCCAUGUUUCAUAAAGAGUUUCAAUAUCAAACUGGACAAAAGAAGAUAAGUCGUUCCUCAAUUU
rfam:Gossypium arboreum cultivar AKA8401 contig_16950_1, whole genome shotgun sequence.